GCACUUUUAAUGGAAAAGCCAUUAAGUGGGCCUUUCGAGCCGGAGACGCGGGUUCAAAUCCUUUAUUGCGCG
rnacentral:tRNA from 1 species